UUCCCAGUGGCUCAGUGGUAAAGAAUCUGCCUGCCAAUGCAGGAGACACAGGUUCGAUCCCUGAUUUGGGAA
rnacentral:tRNA from 1 species